rnacentral:rRNA from 1 species
GACGAACGCUGGCGGCGUGCCUAACACAUGCAAGUCGAACGGAACUGUUUUGAAAGAUUUCUUCGGAAUGAAUUUGAUUUAGUUUAGUGGCGGACGGGUGAGUAACGCGUGAGUAACCUGCCUUCAAGAGGGGAAUAACAUUCUGAAAAGAAUGCUAAUACCGCAUGACAUAUCGGAACCACAUGGUUUUGAUAUCAAAGAUUUUAUCGCUUGAAGAUGGACUCGCGUCCGAUUAGUUAGUUGGUGAGGUAACGGCUCACCAAGACCGCGAUCGGUAGCCGGACUGAGAGGUUGAACGGCCACAUUGGGACUGAGACACGGCCCAGACUCCUACGGGAGGCAGCAGUGGGGGAUAUUGCGCAAUGGGGGCAACCCUGACGCAGCAACGCCGCGUGAAGGAUGAAGGUUUUCGGAUUGUAAACUUCUUUUAUUAAGGACGAAAAAUGACGGUACUUAAUGAAUAAGCUCCGGCUAACUACGUG